rnacentral:rRNA from 3 species
AGAGUUUGAUCCUGGCUCAGGAUGAACGCUAGCGACAGGCUUAACACAUGCAAGUCGAGGGGCAGCACAGGUAGCAAUACCGGGUGGCGACCGGCGCACGGGUGAGUAACGCGUAUGCAACUUGCCUAUCAGAGGGGGAUAACCCGGCGAAAGUCGGACUAAUACCGCAUGAAGCAGGGGCCCCGCAUGGGGAUAUUUGCUAAAGAUUCAUCGCUGAUAGAUAGGCAUGCGUUCCAUUAGGCAGUUGGCGGGGUAACGGCCCACCAAACCGACGAUGGAUAGGGGUUCUGAGAGGAAGGUCCCCCACAUUGGUACUGAGACACGGACCAAACUCCUACGGGAGGCAGCAGUGAGGAAUAUUGGUCAAUGGCCGAGAGGCUGAACCAGCCAAGUCGCGUGAGGGAUGAAGGUUCUAUGGAUCGUAAACCUCUUUUAUAAGGGAAUAAAGUGCGGGACGUGUCCCGUUUUGUAUGUACCUUAUGAAUAAGGAUCGGCUAACUCCGUGCCAGCAGCCGCGGUAAUACGGAGGAUCCGAGCGUUAUCCGGAUUUAUUGGGUUUAAAGGGUGCGUAGGCGGCCUUUUAAGUCAGCGGUGAAAGUCUGUGGCUCAACCAUAGAAUUGCCGUUGAAACUGGGGGGCUUGAGUAUGUUUGAGGCAGGCGGAAUGCGUGGUGUAGCGGUGAAAUGCAUAGAUAUCACGCAGAACCCCGAUUGCGAAGGCAGCCUGCCAAGCCAUGACUGACGCUGAUGCACGAAAGCGUGGGGAUCAAACAGGAUUAGAUACCCUGGUAGUCCACGCAGUAAACGAUGAUCACUAGCUGUUUGCGAUACACUGUAAGCGGCACAGCGAAAGCGUUAAGUGAUCCACCUGGGGAGUACGCCGGCAACGGUGAAACUCAAAGGAAUUGACGGGGGCCCGCACAAGCGGAGGAACAUGUGGUUUAAUUCGAUGAUACGCGAGGAACCUUACCCGGGUUUGAACGCAUUCGGACCGAGGUGGAAACACCUUUUCUAGCAAUAGCCGUUUGCGAGGUGCUGCAUGGUUGUCGUCAGCUCGUGCCGUGAGGUGUCGGCUUAAGUGCCAUAACGAGCGCAACCCUUGCCACUAGUUACUAACAGGUGAUGCUGAGGACUCUGGUGGGACUGCCAGCGUAAGCUGCGAGGAAGGCGGGGAUGACGUCAAAUCAGCACGGCCCUUACAUCCGGGGCGACACACGUGUUACAAUGGCGUGGACAAAGGGAGGCCACCUGGCGACAGGGAGCGAAUCCCCAAACCACGUCUCAGUUCGGAUCGGAGUCUGCAACCCGACUCCGUGAAGCUGGAUUCGCUAGUAAUCGCGCAUCAGCCAUGGCGCGGUGAAUACGUUCCCGGGCCUUGUACACACCGCCCGUCAAGCCAUGGGAGCCGGGGGUACCUGAAGUCCGUAACCGCGAGGAUCGGCCUAGGGUAAAACUGGUGACUGGGGCUAAGUCGUAACAAGGUAGCCGUACCGGAAGGUGCGGCUG